CACGUAGGGGGCAAGCGUUGUCCGGAUUUAUUGGGCGUAAAGAGCUCGUAGGCGGCUCAGUAAGUCAGGUGUGAAACCUCCAGGCUCAACCUGGAGACGCCACCUGAUACUGCUGUGGCUAGAGUCCGGUAGGGGAGCGUGGAAUUCCUGGUGUAGCGGUGAAAUGCGCAGAUAUCAGGAAGAACACCCGUGGCGAAAGCGGCUCUCUGGAACGGUACUGACGCUGAGACGCGAAAGCGUGGGGAGCAAACCGG
rnacentral:rRNA from 1 species